GAGCCAAAAAAAAACGACCGCGUUUCGAUCAGUCUUGUGCCAUAGAUCAACUGGACGGUUAGCUUGAAUUGGAAUGCUAUUCCAGCCCCCGAUGGGACUCCAGCUCCAUCUCGCAGUCCGGCCGUCGUUGCUCAGUGCUUUCUGUCACUCAACUCCGCCGUCGUGCAGCUGUCCAUCGUCGCGGCUCAGGCCCGACGACUUCUUUGAGAUUUUACGGAGGUUUAGGGUACGAUUCGAAGGGAGUGAGCAAAAGAGGCAUCAUCAAUGGCUUCAAUGAUCGGAAGACGAACGAUUGUAUGCAUUUUAUGCAGAGCUUCAGCUAAUUCGGCUCCAAGAAUACCCUCGUUUGCUCGUUCUCUCAGAAACUCAAAUUUCACUCUUCCUCGCGCUCCUGUUGGUCAGCCUUCUCCUUUAAGGUUGUUGCGAAGAGAAUUGAGCUCUAUCAAACCUGUACACAAUGCGAUUGCUUCCGCAUACCUUGUUUCCAAGCUUCCCUGCGAUGCCUACACUUCCAGCGAAGGAAAAUUUGUUAACUAUAUCAGCCCCAUCUGACAACCGGUGAUAUGGCAAGGAGGACUUCUCUUAUUAAUUUUGGAACCUCCCUCAUUCUGGGAAUUCAGAAUUUAGAUUUCUAAACAAAGAGCUUAGCAGGUUUGACACUUUGAAAAUGAAGAGAUUUUGAUUGUCUUCUAGAGCUGCAACUUUGCCAUGUUUGUAAUUGAUAAGUGAAAUGAGUUUUACAUUGUCUUCAAAAUAAUAUCAUGAGGAGCAUUAGACAAUCACAUAUAAACAUGAGAUGGUUUGGAUCAUGGGAAUGACACCCUUG